rnacentral:rRNA from 1 species
UACAGAGGGUGCAAGCGUUGUUCGGAAUUACUGGGCGUAAAGGGUGCGUAGGCGGUGCGGUAAGUCUCUUGUGAAAUCUCCGGGCUCAACUCGGAGCCUGCAAGGGAAACUGCCGUGCUUGAGUAUGGGAGAGGUGAGUGGAGUUCCCGGUGUAGCGGUGAAAUGCGUAGAUAUCGGGAGGAACACCUGUGGCGAAAGCGGCUCACUGGACCAUUACUGACGCUGAUGCACGAAAGCUAGGGGAGCAAACAGG